rnacentral:rRNA from 1 species
AUUGAACGCUGGCGGCAGGCCUAACACAUGCAAGUCGAACGAGUGGCGGACGGGUGAGUAAUGUCUUGGAAACUGCCUGCUGGAGCGGGAUAAGUACUUGAAACGGUAGCUAAUACCGCAUACCAUCCGCUGUGCACAGAUGGGAUUAGCUUGUUGGUGGGGUAACGGCUAACCAAGGCGACGCUCCAUAGCUGGUCCGAGAGGAUGACCAUCCAAACGGGAACGUAGACACGGUCCAGACUCCUACGGGAGGAAGCAGUGGGGAAGAUGGCGCAAUGGGCGAAAGCCUGAUGCAGCCACGCCGCGUGUAGGAAGAAGGCCUUCGGGUUGUAAAGUACUUUCAGCAGGGAGGCGGUACCCAAAGAAGAAGCACCGGCUAACUACGUGCCAGCAGCCGCGGUAAUUC